GUUAGUUCAUUAAUGGUUGGACCUAACCAGGAUUUUCAGUGGAGGCCUCCGCCUACUGAUUACCACUUGGGGCAAAAUUGAUUGCUAGAAAUUGUUUAGAGAAAUAAUUGGUAAUGUACCUACCCUUAGAUGCACAUGGGUUGGUCGAGCCUUCCUCGGGCCCGUAUGCAGUUUAUGCGGAUUCUAGUACCCACUAGGGAAUUAAAGUAAUUCCUCGAAUUAAAGGUAGAGGCUAUUAAUUCGAU
rnacentral:lncRNA from 1 species